AUUGAACGCUGGCGGCAUGCCUUACACAUGCAAGUCGAACGGCAGCACGGGAGCUUGCUCCUGGUGGCGAGUGGCGAACGGGUGAGUAAUACAUCGGAACGUACCCAGUAGUGGGGGAUAACGCACCGAAAGGUGCGCUAAUACCGCAUACGACCUACGGGUGAAAGCGGGGGACCGUAAGGCCUCGCGCUAUUGGAGCGGCCGAUGUCUGAUUAGCUAGUUGGCGGGGUAAUAGCCCACCAAGGCGACGAUCAGUAGCUGGUCUGAGAGGACGAUCAGCCACACUGGGACUGAGACACGGCCCAGACGCCUACGGGAGGCAGCAGUGGGGAAUUUUGGACAAUGGGGGCAACCCUGAUCCAGCAAUGCCGCGUGUGCGAAGAAGGCCUUCGGGUUGUAAAGCACUUUUGUCAGGGAAGAAAUCUUUCAGGCUAAUACCCUUGGAAGGAUGACGGUACCUGAAGAAUAAGCACCGGCUAACUACGUGCCAGCCGCCGCCGUAA
rnacentral:rRNA from 1 species